AGUGAACGCUGGCGGUAGGCCUAACACAUGCAAGUCGAACAGCAGCACAGUAAGAGCUUGCUCUUACGGGUGGCGAGUGGCGGACGGGUGAGGAAUACAUCGGAAUCUACUUUUUCGUGGGGGAUAACGUAGGGAAACUUACGCUAAUACCGCAUACGACCUACGGGUGAAAGCAGGGGAUCUUCGGACCUUGCGCGAUUGAAUGAGCCGAUGUCGGAUUAGCUAGUUGGCGGGGUAAAGGCCCACCAAGGCGACGAUCCGUAGCUGGUCUGAGAGGAUGAUCAGCCACACUGGAACUGAGACACGGUCCAGACUCCUACGGGAGGCAGCAGUGGGGAAUAUUGGACAAUGGGCGCAAGCCUGAUCCAGCCAUCCCGCGUGGGUGAAGAAGGCCUUCGGGUUGUAAAGCCCUUUUGUUGGGAGAGAAAAGCAGCAGGUUAAUACCCCGCUGUUCUGACGGUACCCAAAGAAUAAGCACCGGCUAACUUCGUG
rnacentral:rRNA from 1 species